rnacentral:siRNA from 1 species
UCCGCCGUCUCAAUCUCGCUU